rnacentral:lncRNA from 1 species
GCUGGGGGAGGGGGCACCACUGAGGGGAAGGGGGUACCACUCGGGAGGGGGCUGAUGGCUGUUUCCUGGCUCUUGCUGCUUCCAGGGCUGGAGGAAGGCCGGGCUGGACUUCGGGUGGGUGAGAGCGCACAGGGGGCGGCCCAGGAGCUGAGGGCAUCAGGCGGCCACGGCCAGUCCCAGUCCCGCCUGCAGCAGCCAGCAGCGUGGGGAGCGCCUCGUCCAGGUCUUUAGACUCAGCUGUACAUGGAAAGAAGCAGAGAACCAAUGACAACAGCACGGGGGAGGCUUCUCUUCCUCGAGUUUUUCAGAUUUCAGUAAGUCCACAACCCGUAAUUACCGAUGCAAAAUGUUUAAAAAGUGAUAUGAGACCUA